UAACAUAUAGUUAUGUAAUAAAUUUAAAUUAUAUCUUUCUACAAACAUUUUUAGACUGAGUAAAGGUGAUUAAAAAUUAUUAUAUAUAUUUCAGGCUAAGUACUGUGAAGGAAUACUAUUAAUUGUUUUAAAGAAAAAAUUAAUUUUUGUACCUUUUGUAUCAUGGCUUAACUAGAUACUAUUUUAGACCUAAAUUUCUCGAAAUCUAAUGAGCUAUUUUUACUAUUUAUUUUAGAAAAUAAAAGGUAAUUGUGGCAAAAAUUUCUUAAUAAGUAAAAAUAGGAAUUAUAUUUUAUUCGUAUUAGAUGAUAGCUAGUUCUUUUAUUAACGUAUAGAAGUACUUUAAAUAAUUUUUUUUUUUGCAAUAGAGUGUAAAACAGAUUUUAUUUAGCUAAAUUUUUAAGGAUAAGCUUAAAAAUUAAUAUUAUAUUUACCUUAUAUUUUCAUUAAAAUUUAAGCUUGAAAAUAGCUAUAACUAUGAGUUUGUUACAAUUUCAUUAGUUAUUUUAAAAAAUAAUUGAUUUGUUAUUUUUAAUAAAAGAGAAUUUUAAAACUAUUAUAAAAUUAAACGUAUGUUAAAAUGAGUAUAAAUUAAUGUAUUAAUUUUAAAAACAAUAUAUAUUAAAGUUAAUUUAUAUUUUACUUAAAAAAAUUAUAAAAAGGAACUCGGCAAAUUAUAUUCUGCCUGUUUAGCAAAAACAUGGCUCCUUGCUAAUUUAAAAUAAGGAGUCGGACCUGCCCAGUGAGAAUUUUUAACGGCCGCAGUACUCUGACCGUGCAAAGGUAGCAUAAUCAUUUGCCUUAUAAUUGAAGGCUAGUAUGAAUGGUUUGACAAGAAUAUAACUGUCUCUUUAUAAUUUUAUAGAAUUUUUUUUAUAAGUGAAGAAACUUAUAUAUUAUUAAAAGACAAGAAGACCCUAUCGAGCUUAAAAUAAAUUAAAAGAUAUAAAGAUUUAUAAUAUUAAAAAAUUAAUUUUAAAAAUUUUAGUUGGGGCGACUAAGGAACAAAAAAAGCUUCCUUUAAAAUAUAAGACAGAUAAGUUUUGAUCCAAAAUAUUUUGAUUAAAGGAAUUAGUUACCGUAGGGAUAACAGCAUUAUCUUUUUUGAGAGUUCUUAUCGAAAAAAAGGUUUGUGACCUCGAUGUUGGACCAGAAUAUCCUAAAGAUGCAGCAGUCUUUAAGGGUUGGUCUGUUCGACCAUUAAAAUUCUACGUGAUCUGAGUUCAGACCGGCGUGAGCCAGGUCAGUUUCUAUCUUUA
rnacentral:rRNA from 1 species